GACGAACGCUGGCGGCGUGCUUAACACAUGCAAGUCGAACGGAAAGGCCCUGCUUUUGUGGGGUGCUCGAGUGGCGAACGGGUGAGUAACAUGUGAGUAACCUGCCCUUGACUUUGGGAUAACUUCAGGAAACUAGGGCUAAUACCGGAUAGGAGCUCCUGCUGCAUGGUGGGGGUUGGAAAGUUUCGGCGGUUGGGGAUGGACUCGCGGCUUAUCAGCUUGUUGGUGGGGUAGUGGCUUACCAAGGCUUUGACGGGUAGCCGGCCUGAGAGGGUGACCGGCCACAUUGGGACUGAGAUACGGCCCAGACUCCUACGGGAGGCAGCAGUGGGGAAUAUUGCACAAUGGGCGGAAGCCUGAUGCAGCAACGCCGCGUGCGGGAUGACGGCCUUCGGGUUGUAAACCGCUUUCGCCUGUGACGAAGCGUGAGUGACGGUAAUGGGUAAAGAAGCACCGGCUAACUACGUG
rnacentral:rRNA from 1 species